UACAGGGGGUGCAAACGUUGCUCGGAAUCAUUGGGCGUAAAGCGCGCGUAGGCGGUCGCUUAAGUCGGAUGUGAAAGCCCUCGGCUUAACUGAGGAAGUGCAUCCGAAACUGAGCGGCUGGAGUACGAAAGAGGGUCGCGGAAUUCCCGGUGUAGAGGUGAAAUGCGCAGAUAUCAGGAGGAACACCGGUGGCGAAGGCGGGUCUCUGGGCCGUAACUGACGCUGAGGAGCGAAAGCAUGGGGAGCGAACAGG
rnacentral:rRNA from 1 species